UACGUAGGGUGCAAGCGUUGUCCGGAAUUAUUGGGCGUAAAGAGCUCGUAGGCGGUUUGUCGCGUCUGCUGUGAAAACUCGGGGCUCAACUCCGAGCUUGCAGUGGGUACGGGCAGACUAGAGUGCGGUAGGGGAGACUGGAAUUCCUGGUGUAGCGGUGGAAUGCGCAGAUAUCAGGAGGAACACCGGUGGCGAAGGCGGUUCUCUGGGCAUGACCUGACGCUGAGGAGCGAAAGCAUGGGGAGCGAACAGG
rnacentral:rRNA from 1 species